UUCUUCUGACUCCAAGCCCAUCAUCUCAGGAUUGUACCCAAGUGGCUCUUGCACCAGUAUCAGCGCCAAUGGCAGGGUCAGCAGAAAAUAGCAGAGGGGCCUGAAAACAGAUGGGAACAUCUGGAAAAAUUCAUAAUCCACUUAGGAAAAAGGAGGGGGGAUGCACGGAGUUAGCACAUAUUAAGUGCCUGCUGUAGUCAAGCCCUGUUGGACACCAGGGACAUCUGGACCUUGACAACGGAGCGAAGGGGUGGUCCUGCCUGCACCAGGUUUCAUGGCUUCUCAGGCUUCUCUGCAGCAUGGGUGUUCCUGCCUUGGCCAGAGCCGAAAUCCCAGAGCAGUGAAAGAGG
rnacentral:lncRNA from 1 species